rnacentral:sRNA from 2 species
CGCCCCGUCCUAGGGGAGUAGUCUCCCGCGAGCGCCCUGCUCGCCCGGUCCGCGUCAACACACUUGGUCCACAGACCAUGGCGCGGACGACCCCGAGCCUGCACAGACAGGCCAGCGGUU